rnacentral:lncRNA from 1 species
UCGGUGAUGCAGAGGCUGGAAAAUUAUCGAAAGCACAAUUCCCCCUCAAAUGAGGAUGAAGCAGAUGACGAGGUUAAAACAGAUGUUCGAAUGGAAAGGGUAAUUAAAGAGAUGAGAGAGAUUGUGGAUAUUGUGAGGGAUGAGAAAUUGGAAGAGGGUAGAACCCUAAGUUUUUUAGCAUCUGACCUCGUCGACAUGGCUGACGAUGCACUCGACCUUUUCAGUCAACACAAAAGCAAUAGGAAGUGUAAUUCCAUCAUUAGUUGGAUGGGAGAGAUAAAAAAACAGAUGCUUAAAAUGGGAGAUGAUGAGUCCAAGAUGAGAUCAUCAGAAACUGUUGAAGAUGACAAAUAUCCAUUGGUGGGCGUGGAAGAAGAUCUGGAAAUGCUGCUUCACAAAAGGAUUAUUGUUAGAUAUGAAGAAAGCUAAGCUCAUGAGUAUGCAGUGAAGAAUCAAAUCUUAUUAAUCCAUGGUUUACACUAUUUAUAGAAUACAAGCUAUAAGCUUUAACUUAAACCUAACCUCUGCAUUUACACGUCAGCUCACAGCUUAACUAACUCUUAACAACAGCUUAACUAACUCUUAACAAUAUAACAGCUUAACUAUUCUAAUACAACCCCCAAAAUACUAAGUCUAUCCCUUUUCAAACGGGAGUUUAUCCACCAGAAGUUGAAAACGGGAGAUAGGAACUGGUUUAGUGAGGACAUCAACAAGUUGAUCAUUUGAUGAAAUAUGUUGAACGUCCAGUUCCUUCUUUAAGACUUUAUCACGAACGAAAUGAACGUCGAUCUUUACGUGCUUCGUGCGUGCAUGCAACACGGGAUUUGAGGCCAUUGCAGCAGCACUCUUAGUGUCGCACCAAAUGAUAGGUGAUUGAGACAGAGUGUAACCAAGUUCAGUAAGUAAGGAUUUGAUCCAGACAACUUCCAUAGAUGUUUCAGCUAACGAGCGAUACUCAGCUUCGGUUGAACUGCGGAAGACUACACUUUGUUUCUUAGAGCUCCAUGAGAGAAGGUUAGGCCCUAAAAAGAUGAAGUAACCUCCUGUUGAUUUUCGAUCAUCAAUAGAUCCUGCCCAAUCAGCAUCUGAAAAACCAUUUAAUGUGAGAUAAGCUGAAGAAGAAGAGAAGCAUAGAGAGUUAGUUAAUUAAGGUGCCCUUGAGAUAGCGCAAUAAACGCUUGCAAGCUUUCCAUUGUAACUCGGUAGGAUUUUGGAGAAAUUGACUCAAUUUGUUGACCAUAAAAGAUAUAUCAGGCCUUGUUAUGGUAAGAUACUGUAGAGCACCAAUAGUGCUGCGAUAGAGUGUAGGAUUUGCAAAUAGAGGACUGUCAGAUUUGUGGAGCUUAAUACCAGAAUCAUAUGGAAAAGGCUGAGGUUUACUGUCCAUGAGCUUCGUUUUGGUGAGGAGAUCCCUGAUGUACUUAGAUUGAGAGAGAUAAAAUGAGUGAUUCUUUUUAGAUACCUCCACUCCAAGAAAAAAAUUGACACUGCCCAAUGUUUUGAGUGCAAACUCAUGAGAAAGAGUCUGAAUAAACUGAUGCACAAGCUUUGGAUCUUCACCAGUAAUUAGGAUGUCAUCAACAUAGACUAAUACCAAUAAUAAACUCCCAGCUUUUCUCAUAUAGAAGAAAGAAUGAUCAGAGGCUGAAUGCUGAAAUCCAUACCUGAGCAUAUGAGAUUUAAGUCUUUCAUACCAGGCUCUAGGCGCUUGUCUGAGGCCAUAGAGAGAUUUCUUUAGACUGCACACCCAAUCAGGAUGAUUUGGAUCUGCAAAACCUGGUGGUUGUUUCAUGUAUACAGGUCUAUCCAAGUUACCAUUUAGAAAGGCAUUAUUAAUGUCAAUAUGUUGAAUAUCCCAGUGAAAUGAGCCAGCCAAAGCAAAUAGUAAUCUGACAGAAACAGGCUUGAUAACUGGACUAAAUGUUUCAAGAAAAUCUAAACCAGCAAGCUGUUGAAAGCCUUUUGCAACCAAUCGAGCUUUCAACUUAUCAAGAGAAUCAUCAGGGUGAAGUUUAACUCUGUAUACCCACUUGCAAUCAAUGGGUUUCAUAUAUGAGGUUGGUGGUAUGACCUCCCAAGUUUCUUUUUGCUGAAUAGCUUUGAUCUCAGCUUCCAUGGCAUUGUACCAUAGAGGAUCAGCAAGAACCUCAGAAUCAGAGGAAGGUUCAAUGAUUUUUGAUGGAGUAAUGAUGUGAGCUACUGGAUUAUGGGAAGAAGUAAAAAGAAUAGAUGGAGGUAAGUUUGAGACAGCUAUAUAGACUUUUGGUUUGAAGGUGUCAGCUUUGGAUCUUGUGGUCAUAUGAUGUUGAUUUUGCUGCUGUGGUGGAGGUGAGUGAUGUAAAGAGGAGGAGUUUGAGGGGCUGGGAUUAUUGAUGGAAGGGCUGGGUUUAUUAAUGGGAGGUGGAGAGGGAUUCAGAGGACUGUGGGGAGAUAUAUUUGGAGCUGGUGAGUUAUGUGGAGAGUGAUUGAAUGUAGAUGAGAGUCUAUUGCUGGAUACCGGAGAUGGAGUGUUAUGUGGAGAGGGUUGGUUUAGAACCGGUUGUGGAAUUGUAGCUGGCAUAAUAGGAGGUGGAGAUGAGUAAAGAGAACUAGAUAUACCAGAUGUUGAAGGAGCUUGUGCAGGGAACAGCAAAUGAUAAGGAAACUCAGCUUCAUUGAACUGGACAGAUUUGGCAAUAUAUAGUCUACCAGUAGGAUGUAAACAUCUAUAUCCUUUGUGUUCAUGACUAUUUCCUAAAAAGAGACAUUUUGAGGAUCUGUAUUGAAGUUUAGAAGUGUUAUAUAGCCUAAGGUAUGGGAAACAACUGCAGCCAAAGGUUUUAAGAAACUCAUAAUCCGGAACUUGAUGAAAUAAACUUUGAUAUGGGGAGAUAUUAUGUAGUGAAGGAGUGGGAAGACGAUUUAUGAUAUAAACUGCAGUUGUAAAAGCAUCCCACCAGAAUUUUUGUGGAAGUGAUGCAGUAGCUAACAAAGUAAGUCCAAGUUCCAUAAUGUGCCUAUGUUUCCUUUCAGAUUUUCCAUUCUGUUGGUGUGUGUGUGGACAAGAGUGCCUAAAAUGAAUGCCUAGAUUUUCAAGAAAUGACUUUAGUGGUCUGUAUUCACCCCCCCCAAUCGGAUUGAACUGCUCUUAUUUUAGUAUCAAACUGCCUUUCAAUGAAAGUAAUGAAUCUUGUAAAGACAGAUUGAACUUCAGAUUUUAGUGUUAAAGGAAAAAUCCAUGUAAAUCUUGUAAAAUCAUCUAUAAAAUGUAUAUAAUAUCUAUAACCAUUAGUGGAAGAUAUGGGACUAGGACCCCAUACAUCAGUGUGCACAAGUUGAAAGGGUGCAGUGGUUUUAAUAGCAAUAGAAGGAAAGUUUAUAAAAUGGAUUUUUCCCACUGCACAAGCAUCACAGAAAGAUUUUGACUUCAAACUUAUAGAUUUAUUCAUUGCUUGUAAAGCAUGUUGAAGUACAUUAUUACAUGGAUGUCCUAAUCUAUUGUGCCAAAGAUUUGCAUCAGAUGGUAGUAUAGUUCUAGCAUUACAAGAUAAGGCAGCUAGACUAGUGGGAGAUGGAGUGGGUAUCUUGGUAAGAUCCAAAUAAUAGAGACCUUCAAUAAGCUUGCCCUCCAGCAAAAUUUGAUGAGUAACUUUGUCCUUUACAAAACAAAAAUCUGAAUGAAACUCUAGAUACACAUUAUUAUCAGUGGUGAACUUGGAAAUACUAAGUAAGCUUUUGGUGAUAUAUAUAUGAGGUACAAAUAGGAUAUUACUGAGAAUUAAAGGCUGAGAAGAAUGAGCAGUAUUUAAAACAGAUGAGCCAACAUGAGUGAUAGGUAUUUGGGAUCCAUUACCUACUGUGAGAGAGUCAGUACCAUGAUAUAUAUGGAGAUUGAAGUUGGAGAUUUCCCAUCUGCUGUUACAUGUGCAGAAGCCCCUGAAUCAAGAUACCAGUUAGAGGUAGGAUUUGAGGUGUUUGCUGUGGACAUGUUAGUGUAUGCUGCAGGAGAAAACUGAGAAGCAUUGUUAGUAGCAGAUGAGGAAUGAUUGUAAGAUAGGGAAGAAGGUGAUGAUUCAGUAUUGGUGAUGUGAGCUUGAGGUGGAUUGGAAGACUGUGGUGGUGGUUCUGGACCAGUAAAGCUCACAUCAAAUCUCUUGAAACACUUUAGUGCCACAUGAUUUGUCUUGCCACAGAGUUGGCAAGUAGGUUUGUUACCAUUUGAAUACCUUCCUCCUCCUCUUCCUCUGUUGCUAGAGCCUCUACCAUACCUGCCACGUCCACGAGUAUUGCUAUUUCCUUGAUUUUGUUGAUAUGCUGCAUGUGCUUGAGGGGAGAAGUUGUGAUUUGGAGCAGAAUGUGAAACAACAGCUUGAUUUUGAAGGCGAAGUUCAUGUGUUUGAAGUGCAAAUUGCACUUCCAGUAAAGACAUCUCAUCACAUCGAGAAGAAAGCAGAACACUAAUACUCUCAAAUUCUGGUCCAAGGCCUUGAAGAAUAUAUGAAAUGAGAUCUGAUUCAGUGAUCGGCUGACCUAUGUUGUACAGCUGAUCUGAGAUCUCUCUGAAUUUGAGUAUGUAAUCAUCAAUAGUUGAUUCUCCUUUCUUCAUGGUUUGGAUCUGGCUACGCAACUGCAUAGCACGAGCAUUUGAUUGAGAAUGAAAUAAAACUUCAAAGGCUUUCCAGAUCUGAGCUACUGUAGUGCAACGACCUAUGUACCCCAUCAUCUGAGGAGUGAUCGAAGAUAAAAUCCAGCCGAAUAAGAACUUAUCUCGUCGAAGCCAAUUCAGAAAUUUUGGAUCGACAACUGGAUCAACGGUUGUAGAACUCGACUCCAAAAAUUGAGGAGCAGCUUCGGUUUGAAGAAGAACAUCAUCAAACGCAUAAGCUUUAGCAGUGGCUAAAACUUGAACCUUCUAGAAAUUGUAAUUGUUUCGAUCUAGUUUCAACGAGAUAGGAUGCAUUGUGGGAAGAGGUGUGAGAUUUGGUGUGAGGUUAGGUGUAGACUGAGAAGAUUCCAUGGAGAAGAACAGAGAAAAGGAGUGUGUAGAAGAAAGAAAGCGGUAACCGCUGUGGAUCGGAAAAAAAUUAGCUAGCUCUGAUACCAUGUUAGAUAUGAAGAAAGCUAAGCUCAUGAGUAUGCAGUGAAGAAUCAAAUCUUAUUAAUCCAUGGUUUACACUAUUUAUAGAAUACAAGCUAUAAGCUUUAACUUAAACCUAACCUCUGCAUUUACACGUCAGCUUACAGCUUAACUAACUCUUAACAACAGCUUAACUAACUCUUAACAAUAUAACAGCUUAACUAUUCUAAUAAUUAUUGAUGGUAUGGGACUGAGUGUUCUUAUCAAAGGGAUGGAUGGUAUUGGAAAGACAACUCUUGCAAGAGAGAUAUUCAACCAUCCAAUCGUCAUUAAGGAAUUCGAGUGUCGUGCUUGGGUAU